AUUGAACGCUGGCGGCAUGCCUUACACAUGCAAGUCGAACGGUAACAGGUCUUCGGAUGCUGACGAGUGGCGAACGGGUGAGUAAUACAUCGGAACGUGCCUAGUAGUGGGGGAUAACUACUCGAAAGAGUGGCUAAUACCGCAUGAGAUCUACGGAUGAAAGCAGGGGAUCGCAAGACCUUGUGCUACUAGAGCGGCCGAUGGAAGAUUAGGUAGGUGGUGGGAUAAAAGCUUACCAAGCCGACGAUCUGUAGCUGGUCUGAGAGGACGAUCAGCCACACUGGGACUGAGACACGGCCCAGACUCCUACGGGAGGCAGCAGUGGGGAAUUUUGGACAAUGGGCGAAAGCCUGAUCCAGCAAUGCCGCGUGCAGGAUGAAGGCCUUCGGGUUGUAAACUGCUUUUGUACGGAACGAAAAGCCCCGGGUUAAUACCCUGGGGUCAUGACGGUACCGUAAGAAUAAGCACCGGCUAACUACGUGCCAGCAGCCGCAGUAA
rnacentral:rRNA from 1 species